rnacentral:rRNA from 1 species
CUACGGGACGCAGCAGUGGGGAAUUUUGCGCAAUGGGGGAAACCCUGACGCAGCAAUACCGCGUGAGUGAAGAAGGCCUUUGGGUCGUAAAGCUCUUUUCUUGGGGAAGAUAGUGACGGUACCCAAGGAAUAAGCACCGGCUAACUCCGUGCCAGCAGCCGCGGUAAUACGGAGGGUGCAAGCGUUGUUCGGAUUUACUGGGCGUAAAGGGCACGUAGGCGGCACAGCAAGUUAAGGGUGAAAUCCCGGGGCUCAACUCCGGAACUGCUCUUAAAACUGCUGAGCUAGAGAUAGUUAGAGGCGGGUGGAAUUACAGGUGUAGAGGUGAAAUUCGUAGAUAUCUGGAGGAACACCGGUGGCGAAGGCGGCCCGCUGGGGCUAUUCUGACGCUAAGGUGCGAAAGCGUGGGGAGCAAACGGGAUUAGAUACCCUCGUAGUC